rnacentral:hammerhead_ribozyme from 1 species
AUCCAGCUGACGAGUUCCAAAUACAACUAAAUGCGCAUCCAACUGGAU